UUGUGAUUAUAAGAUUGUAACUAUUAGGUGAAACUCCCUCAUAAUCUAGCAUCAUAUUUAUGCAUGAAAACUAAGCGUGCACUCUCAAUCAACAUACACAAAUAAGUUAUCAAUCAAAUAGAUGAACGAAUUGAAUUCACAACUUAUGAAAUAACAACUGAAUAUAAUCAAAUCAUAUUGCAAGCAUGUACAUGGUUUCGAAUUACCCCCCAACUAAGGGGGUUUAGUUCCUCAUACUCACAACAUAAAGUUUAUUGAAUUGAAACAUCGAAGACAUAAGAAAGAUUACACCUAAAACGCCCAAGAAUUCCACUUUGAAUUUCUGACUUCAAGCUCCUCUUUCUUCUUCUCCUUGCUGCGGCAGAGAGUGUUUUGGGUGUUUUUGGAUGUGGUUUUGGGUUGAGAAGGGAAUUAGGAUGGUAUGGUGGUGCGGCAAGGAGUGGGGAUGGUGUAUGGAGGUGUAGGAUGGUGGCUAGAGGUGUAGAAUGGUGUAUGGAGGUGGAUGAAGGCUGCGGCAAGGAUGGGAAUUGGCUGGAAUGAAUGAUGGUGGCUGCGGCAAGGUGGAUUAGGGUGAUGGACGAUUUCUGAUUUUUAGAAUGGGAGGUUAAUGGUGCGGCUACGUGUAGAACACAUAUAUAUAGGCACCUAAAACCCUAAUGAAAUCAGAUUGGGCUAGGGUUAGGUGCGGCAUGGGCUUAGGAGAGAUGGAUUAGGGUUUAAUCAUGGCAGAAUUUCAGUGAUUAGGCCCUAGGAUGCGGCAUGGGCUUAGGGUCCACAAGGAAUUAGGGUUUAAGUCAUCUAAAAGCCCAAAGCCAAGAAUAGAAACUCACGAAAAUGGAAACCUCCAAGAAUAGAAACUUCCAACUUUUAGAAACUUUGGUUGCCAAUUCCGAUUUAGGAAAGAUCAACCCAAAAUGGAAACUUUUAGGCUUAGCUUUCCUACUUCAAGUAGGAAACCUCAAAUCUUCAACUCUUCAAUUUCAUCCCAACCUUGUGUUCCAAGCAUGUCCUUUUCAAUCCAAGCUCACUUUUUGCUCCAAAAGCUCCAAAUUGCAUCAUUUCAUGUAAUAUGUCCUUUAAACCUGAAAACACAUGAAAGUAGCUUAAAAGACUACUUUAACGAAGAAAACAUAACGAAAAUGCAUAAGAACUAGCUAACUAAGGCGCAUAAAUAUGCUCCUAUCACUAGUGAGCUCCAAAAAGGCCUCGUGCUAGGUAGAGAUGGGAAUAUACAUAUAAGGCUUACAGGAUCCACUUCCAUGGGCGAUGUGGGAUGUCACAAUCCACCCCCCU
rnacentral:lncRNA from 1 species